AGGAAGAGAGGGAAGAUGCUCUCCUUCAAGCAACAUCACCACCACUGACUUCUCCUCCCCUGCGUGCACCCUCUAUACAAUGGACUGAAUAUUUGAGUUCCCCCUGUUCAUAUGUUAAAAUCCUAACCCCCAGUGUGAUGGUAUUAGAAGGUGGGGCCUUCAAGAGCAGUCAGGUCAUGAGGGUGGAGCCCUCAUGAAUAGGAUUCAUGCCCUUAUAAAACAGACCCCAGAGAGCUCUCUAGCCCUCUUUCCAUCAUGUUAGGAUAAGUGAGGAGCCAACCAUUUACUCUCCAGAAGAGGUCUCUCACCAGAACCUGACCCUCCUGGCACCAUAAUUUUGGACUUCCUGCCUCCAGACAGGUGAGCAAUGUCUGCCAUUUCUCAGGCACGCAGGCUGUGGUGCUUUGUUACAGCAGCCUGAACAGACCAAAGACACCGGCAUCCCAGCACCUGGUACACUGUAUGACCUUUGUUUUUACCUUGAUCUCCCCCCCACCUAAGAACUUGAACCCAAGCCCAUGUGAACCCUUGCCUUUCCCCAGAAGGCUUUGCACUGCCUCUCCCAGGUGAGAGGGAGAGCCCUGUCCCAGCUCUCUCCAAAUGUGAAUCCUCAGAGGACAAGAUUGGGUGUCAUUAAAUGUUGGUCCCUCCACAGACCUAAGCACAAGGCUUUGCACACACACGGAGCUGUGCACAAUUAUUGCACAUUGAGUUUACUUUUGAUAAUGAUAUCCUUUUCUGGCAAACUAUUCCAAUAAUUUUUAAAAAUAUCUUUUAUUUUGUGAUUGCCUUACUGCAAAACUACGUAGAUUGCAAAUAAGUUUUGCUUUCAGUCGUUCAAAGGAGCUCAGCAUGUGAAUGCACAAGAUUUUACCGAAUUGUUCUCUUUCAGUGGACAUCUGCCUUGUUUGUGUUUGAUAAAUAAUGCCAUUGCCCAUGAAGAAUAAUGCCAUUGUCCAUGAUAAAUAAUGCCAUUGUCCAUGAUGAAUAAUGCCACAAGGAACAAUCUCCAUGAUCACAUCUUUCACACCUAUGCAAUGAUCACGUUUGGAAAUUCCCAGUGGUGGCACAGUUGGAUGGAGAGUGGGAAAUUUUCCAUUGCGGAUAGAGCCCACUGCAAAAACCUAUUUCCCCAUAUUUCAUGACUGUUUUCUUCUAGAGAACAGCACCGCCCAGUGGCUGGGAGUGUUUGGGGAAAUGCUGGCUGGAAUCUCUUCUUCCGUUCAUUGGCUGUAAGAUCAGGGUCACACCCCUCAUCCCCUGAGCUUCAGGGUUUCCUCCACUAAAGAGAUGACUCUCAGCCCUCCUGCCUCACAUGGCACAAUGAAUGGAGAAGCGCCGGGAGCCUCACAGCUGUAGGGGUGGUUCCUGCCUUGGGUUCAUCCUGGCCAGUCUUGGUCAGCAUAGCGUUGAAGGUUCUAGAAGAACGUUGGGGAAUAAGGAAGACCAACCGGUACCUCACCUAACAUCCCUUCAACAAGCCUCACGCUUGAAGAACACACAGCCCAGCUGGAGAGAGAGGCCAGGACCCCACAUCAUCACAGAGUGGGUGCAUCAAGAGCAGCUGGGGCAGGGGCAUCCCGGAAAAGGGCAUCGUCCCUGAAGGCUGCUGGCCCUGAAGGAGCUCUGGGAGCAAGGGGUGAUGGUGGGGCCUUGAGGCCCAGGUAGGAUCCGGAGUGUGAGAGGGAAGAUGCCUUUGGAAAUGAAGCCCUUGGUCACCUCAGUGAGAAACAUGGCAGGAUUUGCUCUCUUGUUGCAUUAUUUAAAAUGAAGGCAGAUGUCAAUCAUCUCAGGCAGGUUUACAUCCUAAAUGCAACUGACCCGGUCCCGUAUAUCAGCCCCCUUGUUGUGGCCUAGCAGCCCAGAGAACCUACAGUCCUCUUAGCUGGCAACAUCACAGAACAUUCCACCUGGAAAAACCUUAGGGAAUCCUUGGUCAGUGGUGUUCAGUUCUACCCCACCCUUUCUGUCUUUAAUUAUGGACUUCUGUAUUCAAACAAAACAUUAUAAGAAGCCAAAUAUAAAACAUAGCAAAGCAAAGCUACUCAGACCAAAUCAGGGAUAAGAGACUCCGAUCUGCCCAUGGGUUUCAGAAAACGCCACAUGAAAAUGCCUGGGCUACUUCCACUGGCUUAUACACUGGAGAAACUGAGGCACAGAGCGACAGUCCUGACCAUACACUAUGUGAGAGCAAAGACCUGGUUGGUCUUAUAGCACACUGCAUCCCCAGCAUCCACCUCAGUCAGUCCUGGCACAUAUAGAUGCCCAAUAAAUAUCGGUUGGACAGAUACAGAUUAGUUGGAUCAACAUACAUUUUUUGCAUAAAUAAAUAUUUGUUGGAAGAGACACACAGGCAAUGCUGACGGCCUUUGCACAGUCAUCUCUGUUUUUCUACAAAUGCAACUACUUUUUGAAGAGGCUAAAGGAGGGACUUGCCUCUGAGACAGGGUCUGUAAUUGCCUAUGUUUGGAAUGUACAGCAUUUGAAAGGUUUUAAUUUCCUGAUCUAAUGACAAGAAUAAAAGCAGAGGAGUAGAGGGCCAGGGAGGAUGAAAAGGAGCCACAAUUUGCAUCCAAGAUGGAAGUGCCCUUUGUUGUCCCACAUCCAAGUCAACUUCAAAGUUUUCUGCUGCAUGGAGAUGCACAUCAGUCACCAUGGCAACCACCAAUCUGCCCAGGCUACUCGACCCUGGCCAGCCCUCUGCCAGCCAUAGCAUGUGCCUGGCUUUCAGAGAGCCAGGUGGGGCAGAGAACACAGGGGCUGCCGCUCAACCUCGCCAGCCUCCACCCAGCACGUCUUAUUGGCUCUCAGUCUGUGGGGAGAGGGGUCUGGGUCAGCACCUCGAUUGGCUGCACUGUCAUCCUGCAAGCAUGCAUUAGUAGCCACCAGGUGCCUGUGCAUCGGGUCACUCCUUAGAGAUAACACUCCCGUGUCUGGCACUAGUCGCUGAACAAAGGCCUGUGAAUGAGUCAAUGAAUGAAAUCAUAACCAGAGUCCCCUGGGAGCUUCUAAAAUAAACAAAUGCCCAGCUCCACCACCUGAAACUGGCUGCAUCAGCAUCUCUGGGAGGUACAGGCAAGACUGGGGGGCUACAGUUGCACACGCGCCCCUCAAGUUAGAGCAGGAGGAGAAAGCUGAAUGGAGACAGUCCGGGUGGGGCUGCUGGAGCUGCCACUCACGGAGAUGGCAGGAGGGGCGCUUGCUUUGGGAUGUGUCGGGUUAGAGGUGCCCAGGAGGAGUUUGGGAGUCCGGAGUUCUGGGGAGAACUCAGGGAGGGAGGCAGCCUUUUUAUCCACCAGAGUGAUGAGACCAUGGUGAGGGUGCAGAGACAGAUGUAUUCACCCAUUUUCACGCUGCUGAUAAAGACAUACCCGAGACUAGGCAAUUUGUAAAGAAAAAGAGAUUUAAUGGACUCACAGGUCUAAGUGGCGGGGGCGGCCUCACAAUCAUGGCAGAAGGCAAGAGAGAGAAUGAGAACCAAGCGAAAGGGGUUUCUCCUUAUAAAACCAUCUGAUCUCAUGAGACUUAUUCACUAUCACUAGAACAGUAUAGGGGAAACUGCCCCCAUGAUUCAAUCAUCUCCCAGCGGGUCCCUCCUACAUCACGUGGGAAUUAUGAGAGCUACAAUUCAAGAGGAGAUUUGGGUGGGGACACAGUCGAACCAUAUCAAUGAGCAAGAGACCGAGUAUCCAAGGUAUAAGCCAUGGAACACACGGGCCAACAAGGAGGGGUAGGUGAGGGAGAUGAGAGUGAGCACCAGGCAAAUGUGGUGCCUGGGAAGCCAGGAGAAUGUGACAAGCACAGGCUGGGGAAGAAAGAUAGUCAUGCCCAGAGCAUCAAGGCAGGAGCUGCAGAAGAAAGUCUCCCAUCCAACAUGUGGUGACUGCCGGCUGCUGUGGGUGCCCCACCUGGGUGGGGGCUGCCUAGACUACCUCUGCCCAAAGACUGGGGCCUCAGUGGUGGCCACACUGAGCAUAUCUUGCAAACCCCUCCUAAGUCCACCAGGCCUGAGGUUCUUACCUUGAAAUUUACCUCUUCUUCCUCCA
rnacentral:lncRNA from 1 species